UCCCGGGCGGCCGUGGCACCACGUAGCCGCGCUGCCGCCUCCUUCCACCGCUCUCCGCUCCGCCCGCUCCCUUUCUCCCCGCCCCUUCUCUGGUCGCCCGGAGCGCCUGCGACCCCCGAGCGCCUGCAGCCAGACGGUUGGGGAAGACGACAGGCGGAAGGGAGGGGGAGGGCACCCGGGAGCACGCCGAUUGAAAGCAGCCUGGCAGAGUGACCGCGAUUGAUGAGCAAGAGGUCCCUCCCCGCCACCCGCACCAGCAGACAGCUUCUGGAGGAACGCGGGGGGAGAGGUUCGCUCCGGGGCAAGAAAGCUGGUGUGGCUCCAGCCCAUCCUCCCCACCUGCCGGAAAUGAGCUUCAUCCUAGAAAUGGGGAUGAAGAAGGAAAAAUGGUCCAAAGGAGUCCUGACCCCAAUACGACCCUCCGCUAGGAUCUGCUGCAACAGCGCAAACCCAGACAGCAGAAGCCCCCGCGAGACGGAGUAGUGCUGAAGAAACAACUGAUUCCUAAUUCUUGAGGAAUCCAGAAGGAGUACCAGGACGGUCAUCUGGGGAAUCCGAAUGGGGUUUAUAGAUCAUGAACCAUCAAGUGUUUGAUCUCUGGGGAAGGAUAGAACGCGUGGCUGGACAUUGUUUUAGAGCCUCUCUGAGAAAAUGUUGCGUCUCCGCCCUUCUGGACACUUUCAUAGGUGCUAGCAAGCAGGUGACAGACAGGAUUUCAUGCAAGAAGAAUGAACAACCACCAAGACAGUGUGUACAUCUAUGGGUUUGUUUGUUUGUUUGUUUCUAAGGCUUCAAAAAGCUAGAAAGAAAGAUGAAAUCAGGAAAAUUUUCCAGCACCACCCCCUGUAGCCUGGUACUGGGCAAAGAAAUCUACUUGUUUCCUAAGCACCCCAGGUGAUGCUUAAUUACACUUAAGUUUGAGAACUUUUGGCAAAGGGUUCCCCUACUUAGCCACCUCUCUUCUUUCUCAAAACUGGCUAGCCGGUUGACAAAAUGCAGUCCAGCUUUGGUGGGGCAAGACAACACUUUUUCUUGCAAUAAAUCAGACUUUUGAGAUAGCUUUGGCCUUGAGAGCAAUUGAGGCUACACUGAGGUCAUAGGUAGGAGCCAGGGUACCCACAAAGAUGAGAGAGCCAGGAGAUCCUACCUGUUCAACACCACAGAACUGUGACACUGGCUAACUUUGGAUGAAAUAACCAGCCUUUUGAAUGAAAUAAUCCUUUCUCCCUCAAAAGUGCCCUCCAUCCACCAAAAACACACAGCAUACUACCACCAAUCUGGUAGGCUUCAUUGGUAAGGUCUGCAUGCAGCAGCAUAUUCCAUAUUAAUAGGAAAGCACUAACAAGCUUUACCUAAGCUUAUUCAUGCUAUAUUGUAAUUCUUCCUAUAUAUAAAUAGAACAGUUCCUGCAGAUUCCUGAAUAAGUCAGUGGAAAGGUCUGUCUUAAACUGAUAUGACACAUCUAGAAAAGGACUAGAAAUUAGGUCUAGUCUAUGACUGAGAUGAUCCCUAAGCAGGAUUAUUCAUCUUUGAAAUAAAAAUUAACAGAGAAAGGAAAGUUCAGAUAACUCAUUGGUAAAUUGGAGGUGGGUGGGAGGGGGAAACUAGUCAAAUUCUUAUUUCAUAUAUCAAAAGUAAGUUCUAGGAGGAUUAAUGAGUUAAAUAUAUCUUCUAAAGCAAACUGGAAGAAAAUAGAAUAUUUGUUAAACCUCUAGCUAGAAGUAUUUCUCAAUUUAGAAGCAAUGGAAGGAAAUGAUCAAUGUAUGACUUGGUAAUAUCUUAAAACAUCUUUGUGUCAAACAUUUUUUUAUAAAACAACCUAAACCAGAAAAAAUAUUGACAGCAAACAUUUUUAAGUCUGAAUAUCUAUGUUAUAAGUAAGACAAUACAGCUAAAGUAAGUAUAGUCUCGAUGAUUAAGCAUAAACAGAAAAUAAGCCAUAUACAAAGAAAUUGAAUACUAAUAAAUAUAUGGUGAAAAUUAACCUUACUAGUAACUAGUAAAAUAGACAUUAAAGAUAAAGAUGUAAAGAUCAUGAACACUGUUUUGCUCAUACACUGAUGGUGUUAUGAUAUCCUCCAUUUGGAAAGCAUUUUAGCUGUUUGUCGCAGAUCAGAGUGCUCCUGCAUUUUGACUCGGCAGUCCCACUUCUGGGAAUCUAGCCAAAGAAAUACUCCAAAAGAGGGGGAAAGUUAUAUACUGCAAGUUGUACAUCAUAGCAUUAUUUAUAUUGAAGACUUGGCCACAACUUAUAGAUCCUAGAGUAGGGGCUAUACCCAGUUCCUUGUAGCCACCUGGAUUACAGUGUCGCUCCCUGUUUCUCUGCUUUUGCAAAUGUCAUUCCUAGUCUCCCCCUGAAGCCCUCUCCCUGCCCUUUGUGAGCUGCCUCCUCUUUCUUAUCUUCAACACUUUGAUCUGCAUUUUUUCUGACUCCCUCUUUUGUUCCCUUAACACCUACAUUCUUCCAUGUCAGCACCUGGAGACUACCUGUAAUUACUUGUUUACCUGCCCUUCUCCUCCACGAUGCUAUGACUUUUUCAAGGGUGUGGUCCAUCACCUUUUAAUCUUAGAAUCAUUAGUGCCUUGCUAAUGUGGUAGGUACUCAAUAAAUAUUUAUUAAAGGAAUGGAUGAAUCAUUUACUUAGACCUUUUGCAGACAUUAAGGAUGAUGAUUAUAGAGUAUGUGGCAAUGCGUGAAUAUAUUAUAAUAUUAAAUUUUAAAGUCACUAUGUACGGAAUUAUCUCCAAGUGAUAUUAAAGGUUAAAUGAAAAAAUCGAGGUACAAAACAGAGUGCACAGUAGGCUGCCAUUUUGUAAAAAAAAAGCAUAUUGGCAAGGGAGAGUGGAAAAUUUAUAUAUACACAUAUUUCCUUGUUAAUGGGUAAACUAUGUAUAGAAGGAAAGAAAAGAAACUGGUAGCAGUUGUUGAGGUUGGGGAUGGGUUGGGGCAGAAUGGAAGACUAAAAAAGAUGAAUGGGAAGAACUGCUUUAUUUUUUAAUAUACCCUUUUGUUUGUUUACAUAAUUUGUACCGUGUACAUGAUAUACCCAUUUUGAAAAAUAAAUCGUUCUACAAAAUUG